rnacentral:rRNA from 1 species
CACACCGCCCGUCACGCCAUGGGAGUUGGUCUCACCCGAAGGUGGUGCGCUAACCCGCAAGGGAGGCAGCCAACCACGGUGGGAUCAGCGACUGGGGUG